AGAACUGCAGACCUGGGAGACAAGCUCACGUGCAGAAUCACAGGUGUGGAUCUUUGGAGGGCAGCGGCCCCUUCGGGCUCAUUGGGGAGCAGCGGUCGGUCCGCGCGCGCCUCCUGCCGGCCUCAUCCGGAACUGCGGCCCUUGCCCCUUGACGCCGGCGGGACCUCCCGCCUAGGACCCGCACUUGCUUGCUACCUGGGCGGAACUCGCUCCACUGCCUCACUUCGAACCCGGAAACCCUAAGAUGGCUCUGCUCAUGCUAAGACCCACCAGCUCCGUGUCGGAGAGGCUGCGGCUGGCCCGUGGGGAUCUCCCAGGACCCCUCCGCAGCAGACAUUUCCCGCCCCACCACGGCCAUCCUCCUCCAUGGGGCUCCCUCCUGUCCAGGACCCAGCAGUCUACAGCCCAGCUGGGACCUGUGACCCUGGUUCUGCCAGCUGUCCACCACCCCUCCUAGCUUCCACUGAACCCAGGCCCAUCCCUGGCAGCGCCACCCUCUCCUGCUGGGCCC
ensembl:lncRNA